UGAGGAAUCUUGCGCAAUGGGGGAAACCCUGACGCAGCAACGCCGCGUGAGUGAGGAAGGUCUUCGGAUCGUAAAGCUCUGUCAGUUGGGAAGAAAUACCUGAGGGUUAAUACCCUUCAGGCUUGACGGUACCAACAGAGGAAGCACCGGCUAACUCCGUGCCAGCAGCCGCGGUAAUACGGGGGGUGCAAGCGUUGUUCGGAAUUAUUGGGCGUAAAGAGCGUGUAGGCGGCCGGAUGUGUCAGAUGUGAAAGCCCUGGGCUUAACCCAGGAAGUGCAUUUGAAACUGUCCGGCUUGAGUAGGGGAGAGGGAAGUGGAAUUCCUGGUGUAGAGGUGAAAUUCGUAGAUAUCAGGAGGAACACCGGUGGCGAAGGCGACUUCCUGGCCCUAUACUGACGCUCAUGCACGAAAGCGUGGGGAGCAAACAGG
rnacentral:rRNA from 1 species